ACCAGUGUGGUGCAGUGGUUUGAGCAUUGGACUAUGACUUUGGAGAUCAUGGUUCAAGUCCCUGCUCUGCCA